GUUUUAAAUAUUUUGGGUCAUUAGGAUUACUGAGUUUAAAACAUCGCAUAAAAGUAAAGAGUGUAGUAGCUUUGUAGGCCCGUUUGGUUCAAGUUAUGUAAUAUUACAGAGUAUUUCAAUAUAUUCAGGUAUAUAUCUUAGAUUUCUAAAUGAGAUUAUUAUUGAUACUGCAUUAAUGCGUUUAGUUUAAUACAGUAAUAUAAUACUGAAUUGUAGUGUUUAUGGUAUAACUAUAUUUGGUUUAGCCUAUAAAAUUUAGUAAUCUAGACAAUAAAAUAUAAUCUAUUUCAAAAUUGCCCUUAGCCAUAUUUGGCAAACAUUUUUUAUACUCUUUACAAAUAAUACUUUUUUUACUAAAUUUUAUUUUAAAUAUUUUUUUAAUUUUAAAUUUCAAAUUUUAAAUUUGAACAAACAUAUAAAAUUUAAUAUUUAAUUUAAAAUAUAAAUAUGAAAUUUAUAAAUUAAAAUUUAAAAAUUAAAAUAAAUUUAAAUUUAAAAUCUAAAUUUAAAAUUUAGAAUUUAAAAUACAAAUUUAAAAUUUAAUAUUUAGAAUUUAAAAUACAAAUUUAAAAUUUAAAAUUUAGAAUUUAAUGUCACGCCUCGGAUUCCUAUGUUCCCCGGGCUGGCCAAUGAAUCUGCCGUAUACAUAGGAAUUUUUUGUGUAUACGACGCGAUAGCUGAACAUGUAAAAGGAUAAGUACAACUACAAGAGAGUAUAGAGCUGCUAAAACUAAAACAUAUAUAAUGAUAAAACCAACAGUACAUACACGUCUCCAAAAUACAUCUCUGUACACAAAAGUAAUUAAACAUGACU
rnacentral:lncRNA from 1 species